CUAAUGUGUUAAACUAUUUUUUUUUAAAGUAACGAGUUGAAUUUUGCAAAUGUAGCGAAGUAAAAGUACCGUUUCUUCUUCAUAAAUGUACUCAAGUAAAAGUAAAAAGUAUCGUGCAAAAAAGGUACCUAAAAAGUACAUUUUUUUCAAAAACUUACUCAAGUAAAUGUAACGGAGUAAAUGUAGCUCGUUACUACCCACCUCUGCUCAUAGGGGAGUUGACACAUGGCAGAAGCCAUGUGGCGAGAGGAGUGUCAUUUAAAUUUGCACAUGUCGCCAUGACGAGGAGUGACUGCGAGGAUCGUCCUUAAGAUGGAAGCUGAGGCCUGGAGAGAGGCUUCAGAAGGAUCAGAGAUCGCCUUCAGCACAGAGAGCUGUGCUCCUGGGCUUCCAGGAGAUCGUCAUGAGGAGACUCUGCACAACAAAAUCUUAAAUAAGAUGAAAGACUUUCGACGUUGAGGAAAACAACUAAGGCGUACAACGUGCUCUGCCUUUAGAAUCUUCGGCAGCGUCGGAACAUGAGGACCUGAGGGAGCGUGCCAAGCUCCAAAAAGUCACAGCGCAGAGGAGGUCCAGCGAUGGACUUGUGGUUCUGUGAACAGCACAAAUGCCAGGAGCAGAGUCUGAAGUCUGGAGAUUGGAUGUUGACAAGGCCAUGGAGAGGAAGUGCGGGUCCAGUCCACGGUGGGAAGGUCCAUAUCGGAUGCUGCUGACGACGACCACAGCAGUGAAGAUCGCUGAAAGGAACACUUCGAUACAUCAAGCGCACUGCAAGAAGGUAACACACUUCCUGGCCGACUCUGGGUGAUGGUGAAAAGGCCAGGGUAUAAAGGGGGGAGUAUAUCUCUAGGACCUCUCAUCUCAAUCCUGGUGAAGAAACCAACGGAUCCUGAACCCAACUUAGAUGGCUGGGAAUGUGCUGUGUGCCUUCUUGUGCCUGUGGACCCAGAGUGGGAUGACAGGAGCGCACUGGGACAGAGCAAAUCACACCCAGUACCCGCAUGGGGUUUUCAACAACUACUGGUGGCAGUUUGUGAACAAAACCGCUCACAUAAAGAACGAGACCAAUGGUUAUGCUUGUGAUGCCACUGGCUACACAUUCUUCUGGACUGUGGCCAUAUAGCAUCACUGAGACAGUUUGUUUGGUUGCCUUGGCAACACAUCCAGGACUAAACAUACUUGGAACACUGCCAACUUUUCAACUUCUGAACCUGAAUGGACGGUUGAUUCACCAGUAGCUGGGACGGUGAACUGCUCUGGUACGACAGACCUGCCAGUCUGACUCAAAGUAUCUGACUCGCUGCAGGACAUUGAACAGCUAAAUAAACUGGAAAUAGGCCAGUUGCCUAUGUGUAUGAAGGGCAAUGGAUUAGUCCAAGUUGGAGAUUUACCAUGGAAUUUGUACAACGUCGCCUAUUCUUUGUGUCCUCUGCAAGAAGGAUGCAAACAGAGAAGCCUUUUGUCUACAUUUACAUCAUUAACACUUCUGUAAGCUGGUUGAGGCUUUGAGCCAAGAAGAUCAAAACAGCUUGAUCCAAUUUCCUUUACAAAGCUUUUUCUGCGGUGACAACAGGACAGGAUGUGUUUGAAUGUCUAUGUCUGUAUACAGUUGGAUUGUAGUGACAUAUGAUUUUUGAGUAUGUUGAUUCUUCUUGUUUGACUGUUACAUUUAGUUGUUUACUUGCAGGAAUACAUAAUGAAUCGCGCGACAGGAGUAGAUGCACCACAAGGCGGGAUAACGUGGUUAAUGUCUGGUCUUUGGUGGCAUUUUCUUUUUAAAAUAUUAAUUCCUGUUUUCGGACUAUUGAUACUGAUUUGCUUAUGUAUAGGAUGGAUUUUACCGUGUAUAAGAUCAUUGCGAACUAAGAUGAUUUCUGAUACAUUUGUUAAUUAUGUACUCUUAAAACAAUAUGAAUUGACAGAAAUGAAUGUUAUGACAGAAGCCUGUGUGUAAAUGACGCCUGUGCUGAAAUUGUCAAGCAAGAGGUGCAUGGCUAAGAAUAUACUACAUACGAAUAAUUUGGAGCAUAAAAAUCACAAAACAGGAGGGAAUGUUAGAGUGAAUUGUUAAAUGUUUGUCAUUUUUAUUGUAAGUGUUACAGAAAUUACUUAUGUAUAAGAAGUUUAAUAGAAGGUUCCAGCAGUUAAAAUGUUCUUGCUUGUACAGUUCUGUGGACAAUAUUGUAAAGGUGUGUUUAUCUUGUCAUAAAGAACAAGUUUUAUUACACCGCUAUUAUCGCGAGGUUUGGGGCGUGACAAUACAGACUGUGAGCCCACGUUUAAUAAUCACGCUAAGGAGUUCAGCGAGCUAUCUGCAAAGGCCUGGUUAGUCUACCAGCUGUACAAGGUAUUUGUCCUUUGCCAUAACUGUAUUGUAAUAUUGUGAAAAUUUGUAAUGUAUAGUGUUCUAAUUAUUUUAUGGUUUAAUUUAGAAUGCACAAGACUGUAAAGGUAUUCUUCUAGAACCUCCGAAGUGGCAGGCGGCCACGAGUUUUCACGGCGUUCAAUAAAUGCAGCGAAGCGCCCGUCUUGAAGAAGCCGUGCCUGUGUUGUCAUUUCGGAGUUACAGUGAAAACUCGCCCUAGCCAGCGCCGGUGAGAAGCUAAUUACGAAGA